ensembl:lncRNA
AGAGGGGCUUGUGUGGCUGUCUCCAGACCUGGUUGCCUUAGGCUGAGCUUCUGCAUUCCAAGUGGGUCCUCACAGCUAACUUCAAGCUGAGCAGGGUAAAAUUCUUCUUUUUGUCCCACUGGGCUGCCAGCAUGCUUACCCUUUCCAAUUUGGGUCAGCAGAUAGGAAGCUUACCACCCACCUGUGUGUCCAAUGGGAUGGAAUCACUUAGAUUUACCUGAGGCCUUGGUCAAUGCUAAUCUCAUUUUGAGGUUCUCAUCAGUGAGAUAAAAUGUUGAUUAAAGAAGACCAGGUUGCCUAUUAUCCCAGCACUUGGGAGGCUAAGGCAGGAGGUUUGCCACUAGUUUGAGGCCAGCCUGGGCCAUAUAGACAGCUCAAGGCCAGCCUAAACUACAUAGCAAGACUCUGCCUAAAAACAAAAACAAAAACAAAAACAAAGCAAAACUCUCAAACAAAUAAACAAACAACAAAAAAAAGAGGACCAGGUUACUCCAGCAUCCUUGGCAGAUGUGUUGCCACUAGUUGAUGGUCUGUGAAGAAUGCUCUGGGGUCUCAGGAGAACCAUGUACUUCAUAAGGCCUCAAUGUCCUUGCUUGAGGGAGGAGUCUUACUUACAAAGGUGGGACAGGGAUGUGGUGGAGAAGGUGAGAAGAGCGACCAAGCCCAAAGCCCUUGGUUACCAGCAUGUGAUAGGUAAUGUACCCAGCUAUCCAGUACUCUGCCUGCUCCACCUUCCAUUUCCCCAGAUCUGGAGAAAGUUGCUGGUGACUCAAGGAAACCUGAUUCCUCCGGCUCAGAGGAGCUGACAGCCAACAGCCAAGACAGGUUAAUUGGGGUGUGGGGCCACCUACUGGUCACCCGGGUGAGUAUUCAGUGGACACCUACUAUGUGCCAGUAUUUGAGGGAACUGUGGGGUAGGAGAGGUACCACAACCUCAUAAUGAACAGCUGCUGUUUACUGAAUGCCUACUGUGUGCCAUGACUGUGCUGUCUGUGGCUCAUCUUAUUUAGUUCUCACAUUUUCAUGUUACAGAGAACCUGAGCUCCAAGCUCUUAGCCAUUGCCCUCUCUGCUAAAGGAGGUCAGAAAAAGGAAAUGCUUCUCAGAAAGCUUCCCAGAUAUGACAGUGUGAACUCAAAGGCAAGUCAUAUUUGGAUGGACAAGAUUUAGAGAAAGAGCACUGCAGCUAGCAGGUGCAAGGUAGAACAAGGUGUUCUGUGUGAAGAACUAAGAGUAAGUUUGUUUAACAGGUGAGAGGCAGCCACAGCAGGGGUGUCUCUCAUUUCCUCACCCCCUUCCUGAAAAACAUCAAAGUAGGGUUCUCAGGGCAAGACAGUGGGCACCUUGUGGCAACUUUUCCCUCUUAGAGCCCCCAAGGGAGAGCAAACAGGUAAAGAAGAGGUGAUGGGGCUGAGGAGACAGCUGGAGAGAUUGAGGAGCCUGCCUUAUCUUGCAAAACCAGCCCCUGCUACAGGGCCUGUGUGGAAAAAACAAGUUAUACCCCAAUCCUCAUGCCCCUCUGGCUCUGCAUCCAUAACAAAUCAGGGAGCAUUAACUCUUAUACCUGACAGAUUCUGUGUGCAGCAGUGUGAGUCAGGCCUCUUAGCCACCCCAUGAAACAGCUUCCCCAUGCAGGGACCUACCCCAGCUCAGCCUCCCUUUUAGGUGAUAGGACUCUGACUCAGGGGCCAUGUCUCCCCAGCUUAGCUGCUAGAGUUGAAUGGAGGUCUCAGGGGUCACUGAGAAAGGCCAGAUGAGAGAGUUACUGGGCUGCUCAGGCCUGGGCCUGGCUAACUACUGUUAAUAUCUUGCAGCUCAGGUUUUGUGCCUUGUCAGGUACCAGGUAUCUCACACAUGGCCUCCUUUACAUUUCUGCUCUUCCAGUAACUCUCCUGGACAUAAAUUAUGUCCAUUUUGCAGAAAAAGUUACCGAAGCUUUAAUGGUACUAGAAGUACCAUGUUUCUGAAUGGUAUGUGGUAGGACCUGGGUUUGAACCUGGAACUUUGGGCUCCACAAUGCCCUCCCUAAGAGGAAGACCGUCACUGCUAAGAGUCUCAAUGUCACUGACUCCUUCCCUGACCUGGUCUAGUUAGAAGUGUCAUACACCUGCUUUUCCUCUCUCUUGACCCUUUAUGUCUCUGGCUGUCAGAAAAAGGAUGCUUGAAGUGAUCUUCCUUGGCCUUGAGGCAGGGAGCACCCAGCACCUCUCAGGGAGGUUUAAAGUCAGGGUACUUCUCUGAAAAUGAGAUGGAUGUUGUGCCUUAUUUCCACAUCUUGGUUCCCCUUCUGACUGUUUUGUGACAUCAGACAACCCCCUUAAUCACUCAAUUUCCUCAUUAGACCAUGUGGAGAGCAAUGCCCCCCCCCCCGACUGUAAGACUGUGAAAGGUAAGGCAUGACAUUCUACACAGUUCCCAGCAUGUCAUAAGUUCAAAAAAAGAAAAUUCACCUCACACAAGAGGCUAUCUGGGGAUAAUGGUAUUCAGGGAAGUGUUGAAUCACAUGUUAAAGCCUGGAAGAGAGGCUGUCUUCCUGACAGAAGCUGCAGUCAGUGCUCCUGUCUGACUGAGCUGCACACCUGCGCUUGGGGUCUUUCUGUGAAGGCCCCUGUCAAGCUGGGGCCUAGCAGACUGCAGUAGGGCUGCCAGGACUGGUGGGGUGACAGGCAAGGCUCUGCCCAGUGGUAGCUAGGCAGGUCUAGAAAGUCCCUCCUCACACAGUCUUGGAGGGUUCCAGAGACUGUGGGGGCACAGGUGAAGGCAUUGCACCAGCUGGAUGAGGGAAUGGACUGGCCUAGUUUGCCUACAGUGGUCAGGCUUUCCUAUGUUGUUGACUGGGACAAGCCAAGCAGAUGACACUCUUUCUCUAGUGAUAGCCCACAGGCAAAGACAGGGAUAAAAGAGUCAGGGAAGCCUUUGAAUAGGGGACACUCAGCUAGGACAAAUAAGUUGGCUAUAAGAAGAGGAGAAGAAGGGCAUCCGUGUAGAAAAAUUAGCAAGUGCAAAGGCAUAGCAGCUCAAAAGGUCUUUGAGUAUCUGAGGAGAGAAGUGAGUCACAUUGUACCUGGAGAGUGCAGUUCUCUACCAGGAAGGAGAAAGCAUAUGAGCAUCUUUCUGGGAACCAAGUAAUAAAGCUUUUUGGAGAUGCCUUUUUCUAGAUUCUGCCACUGACCACCUAGAACAGGGUCUGGCCUAGGGCUCAUGAUAGCCUGACCAGAUGUAACCUGUCCCUUGACUCUAUAGAGAGAACAUCAGAUCCUGAAAUGGCUUUACUGUCUUAUUGUUGGCAAUAGAAUGAUCCCACUAAACCAUGGAUACAAACCUCCCUGGUGCUGGUAAUAUCAGCAAAGCCAACAACUGUGUCUGUUUCCACAAGAAGCAACAACUAACCUCUGAAGAUAGAUUCUUUAGAGAUAAGGCCUUCCCGCUGGUCUUCAGAAAGAAGGGGUCAGUUACUCUUAACUUCUGUAGCUGGAGUUUGAUCUCAUUGGAGUUGUGUGGGUGCUUGGGUGAAGAUCCUGGGAUGGGGUGAGCAGAGAUUCUCAGGAAUAGUGCUGCACCAUAAUCUCAGCCAGCAACAAGUUCCUUCUCCACCUAUCACAUGAAUCAAUGCAGGUCAGGGGCUGGCCUAGACUGGAGGUAUUCCUUCUAGGAUAGCCAACCCUCCUCCCAUAUCCACCUGUCAGGGCCCAACUCUGGACAAUUUUCUUCGGAUACUCUGGAUGUCAGAUGGGUUUCCUCAGAAGACCUAGGUCCCAUGGAAUGAAUCCUUCCUGACUGAAGGUGCUUGGAGGAUAAGGUAAAUGUAGAAGGAGUUUAGUGGGGGAGAAAAUGGCUGGUUUAUGCCUUCUGAAAGGAAGGUAGUCAGAAGGAGCUGACUUGUCCAAGGUCACACAGAAGUUUAGUAGCUGGACUUGUGAAUGAAAGAAAGUUUCUGGAAGACAAUCCCAAUUUUGAGGCCAGGACAUCAGAACUAUAGGGACCUAGAAGAACUUGUGGAUUCCAGCUUCAAGAUUUCUAAUGUUUCCUCCACAGAGUCCAAUUACCUGGAAGGAGAAAUCAUACUCUUUGGGCCUCUGUACUUUCUUGCUUCCAUGCUCACCCUCCUGGGUUGGCAAAGCUCAGCCCUCCAUGGACAGGAAUGAGUCUAGGAAUAGUGAAAGUCAGUCAAGUAUGUUCAGAAAUGGCUUUGGGACCUGGGAUGAAUGGAAACCUCUGGAUAGAGUCUGAGAAAGUCAGGGUUGGAACAUGCCUUGUCGUAUUUAAUUCUAGUUUUAUAAAUGAGAAAACAGAGGCUCACAAGUUAUCUUCUUAGUCUAGACUGCCCCUGCCUGCAUGAGCAGAUUUCCUGGCCUCUCGUUUGGCCACCUUUCCUUCCCUGGCCUCUGAGUUCCUUCCCAGGUCCCUCUGGCUCUCACCCUUUUCUGCAGAGCUGUUUUCCCUUUUUUACUUCUUUGUGGGUAAGGACUUUCUCACUAACUGUACUUGAGGGCUCUGUGGCUUUGAAUUAGGCUUCCGUGGGUUUUCUUCCCAGAGGGCUUUGGAUGAGAACAGCAUCAACAUUUGUCACUGAGAGAAGGUAUAAGGGGUUUUGCCUGUGGCCAGAGACAAGACUGGGUAUCUGGAGAGGCUGGUGCUGGAGUUGCUGGGCUACUGGGACCCAGAGCCUGGAGGGUUGAGAGUAGGACUUUCAGGCCCCAGGUCUGCCCUUUACAGGUUCUGGAGUCCAGGGCACUUUGAGCCUGAAAACACUGGCUCCUGGGCUGGCUGCUGAUGUUCCCCUCCUUGUUACUCUUGGAAUUGGAACUGCCCAAAGGCUGGACACACAUGAGGGACUUCCUGGCUGCACUUUGUAGUUGUGGAAAUGUUGGAAGCCACGGCCAUUUGGAGUUGGAAUCUCUAUUCUCUGGCUGGAGAUGUGGCUGGUCCUGUCAGGCUCCAUACCAAAAUGUCUUCUCAGAAUCAGGGAUGUUGCAGGUCCUGGGAGUAGAGUGGCAGCUUUGCUUGGUGUUGGGACAUGAAGUAGGUUUUUUGGAAGGAAGAUAGGACUUUGAGGUGGUCAGAGCAGAGAGGGCACAGCAUGCUCAUGGGAAAGAUCUUGCUGUAUCUGGGGAUGGGUCCAGCCCAGGGUGGGAAAAUACAUGUCAAGCUGAGUACAGACAUUGCUUUGGAGACAGCAGGGAGCCACUAAAGACCCUUACACUUAAAUAAAGUGACGGGUUGCCCUAGUUAUUUUCUUGUUGCUGAGACACAAUACCCAACACCUACAAUGUAAAGGAGAAGAGGUUUAUUUUAGCUUAUAGUUUCAGUCCAUGGUCAGCUGGCUCCGAGGCAGUAACAACAUGGCAGAGGGACAUAGAGAGGGAAAAGCUACUCAUAUCAUGGGAGCCAGGAAGCAGACAAUGAAAGGAGCCGGGGACAGAGAUAGAUCCUUCUAGAUAAUGCCACCAGUGACCCUCCUCUUUCAGUCAGGCCCCCAUUCCUAACAGAAUCCACUGAUAAGUAUUAUCACUCCCACUUCCCAAAAGCCCAACUUCUGAACAUGUGAGCCUUUUAGGGAACAUUCUAGAUCUAAAUCAUAACACAAGUUAAGAGAGUGAUUGGGACAUCUUCACCUGGGGUUGGAGGUGAGGAAGCAGGAGAGGGGAACUCACCUAACAAUCUUUCCUGGACCUCUCCAAGGGUGACUGAGACUGUGGCUGGAUGCUCAGGGACAGCAUCCCAAGCUGGGCAAUUCCCAAGCAAGUCACAAUCAGUCCCUGGCUCAUGCUCACCCUUGGUUAGAGACUUCCUCAACAAGCAAUCCUUGGGACCAUCUUAAACUGGCCUAGGUGUUUUCCGGGCAAGCCCAGCCAUUCUUAUGCUUCCAGCCCUGUGGUUGUCCCUGACCUGGGACUUCCUGUCCAGGGGAAGGAGGGAGGAAAACUCAUGUUAUUGACAGAUGGAUGUUGAAACCCAUAGCUUUCCAUUCCAUCUCUUUUGCCCUCCCCACCCGAUAGAUCUCGUCCAGGUCAUCCCACUCCCUCCAUCUUAGAGCAGCCUGGGCAGCAGUCCUAAGAGGCAAGUGUUUGCCUUUUCAUCCAUUUCACACCUAAUGCCUUUUGAUGAACCAAGUCUGCUUUUACUUCACGGUCCCUGCUUGUCCCUUGACUUCAGAGUUCCUGCAGCCCUGAGCCAUAUCAGAACCUUCCUGGAGCCUCCACCUUUAGAACCUGCCUUAGCCUGGAAGAUGCCUGCAUUUACUACAGGUUCUGUGGGUAAUGUUUCUCCACUGGUGUGUUGGGAGCCUGGAUCCCAGGAUGUACUCAUAGUGGUCUCUCUGGUCAGUGGUUGUCACCGCUAAGGCACCUUUACCUUUCCUGUCAUUCAAGAAACCCUUGGCAUUCUCUUCACAUCAGGACAAGAGCACAAAAACAUAAUAUAUAUUUUGAAAGUGGGAGAAAAAGAGAGAGCCUCCUCUACUUCUUUCUUCCCCAACAUAUCUUCCACAGCUUCUAGUCUAAUCCCAGUGGAGUGUCAUAGUCCUUGGUCUGGCUCUGCCCACUUCAGGUUCUGCAGAAUUUCCAAGUUCAGCCCCUUGAAGAUUGUGGCCCCUGCUCUCUACUAGUAUAGAGAAGGAAGACUGGGGUAUGGUAAUGCAUGCCUAUAAUCCCAGCAAUCUGGGAGACUGAGACAGAAGGAUUGCAAGUUUGAACACAGGCUGGGAAAAUCAGUGGCUUAGCAAGACACAGUCUCAAAAUAAAUAACAAAAAAAGCCAGGGAUGUAGCUCAGAGCAAAGGCAAGGAAAUGCCUGGAGCUCUGGGGCUGGCUGUUGUAUAUGUGAUCUUGGAUAGGCUUUUUUCCUUCUCUGGAAUCUGUUUCCUUGGUGGUGAAAUGGCCCGAGUGAUACUCACAGGGUUAUUUGGAAAAUUUAAUGCGAUAGUAUAUGAGUACAGAGCUGAAUUGAAAAUCUAAGAGGUGAGUUACUCUAGGAUAGGGGGAGUAGAAUAACCUGGACCAGGUCUAUUGUGUGGGGAGGGGGAAGGAGGUGAAGGGGAAAUAGCAUCUGAUAUGACAGGGAGGUCUGGUGAAUUAGGAGUCCAGAGGCUCCUGUGCCAUGCUGAGGUCUCUGCUGAGCAGAUACCGAGGGUAGUCUGUUGUUUACCUAGAAGAAUUUAUAAUAAUCAAAAUCCUGGGAUGUAUAGAGCCAGAGAAAAUACUAUUUGGACAGUGGCCAGCCUGGAGGAAGGAGAGAGUAGGUGCAGGGAGCAGGAGAUGGAAUCUUCCUCUCCGAAGACCACAGCUACGCUCAUGAAUUUGAGUCAUCCUGCAGACCUUAAGUGUUGGAGAAGGGGAGGUCAGUCCCAUAUUCCUUGCCUCUAGGACUAGUUGACUAGGGGAGAAAGCUUCCUAAGCAAAAGAUGCAUGUAAGUACACAAGGCCUUCAGCCUUCUGCUCCAGCCUUGUGCCCUGGCAGACCUAUCCCAUCUCACCCAGCACAGAUCCACACCCUUCCAGCUCUCCAGAGAUAAGUUUCUGAGUACAGAAGUCAAAGCCUGGAUUGAACCUGUUGAAUGAAUAGGAUCAAAUACAUUCUUUCUAUCCCCAGGCUGAAUUUCUCCAACCCCUCCAGACCACAUUCAAGGAAGAGUUACAAAAAUGUCCUCUUGGUUCCCAGAGGAAUAGAAUGCAGCUGUUUAGGUCUGUGAUGGGCUCAUAAAAUUGUCUACUGGCCAGUGUUACGCUCAAACAAAAAACUUCUGAAUUUUGUUUUUGAGGCCCUUAGAAGAGAACAAAAUCUCAGACUUAGCUGGGGUGGAUGUCCAUGAGAAGAAGGGACUGUGUGUGAGAAAAAUUAUAGGGGCAAAAGUGAAGGAAGGCAGACCAACAAGGAGGCUGCAGGAUUCCAAGUGAGAGGGAGGUGGCUUGGGUUGAGAGAUCUUGGAUGGAUUUGGAGUUGAAGUCCCAGAACUCACUGUGGAAUGGAUAUGUGGAGAAGGAGAAAGGAUGACUAGUAGUGAUAAGCCUGAGCUGCUGAGGAACUAGAGGUGCUGGCCACUUUUCCUUCCCCAAGGUACUAAAAGACACCAAGGUAUCAGGAAGGUAGCUGGAUUGAGGGAGCUUGAGCCAUAACAUUGAGAGACAUCAUAAUCUAGUUGGGGUCCAAGGUCACAAGACCAGGCAAGACAGGAAAGAAUGGGAAGUGAGAUGAAAAGGAGUCUCAGUCCUGGGGCAGAGGUUAGGGAGAUAUGAAGAUAUCAGAAGAGUAGAAUGAGCGGGGCACCCAGGCAGGAAGAAAGCUAAGUGUAUGGUCCUGCUUCAAUAUGCAUAGCGGAUUGAUUCCAGGACAUCCUGUGGAUGCCAAAACCUGUGGAUGCUCCAGUCUCUUACAUAAUAUGGUACAGUAUUUGCAUAUAACCUGUGCAAUUCUCCUGUGUACUUUAAAUCAUCUCUAGAUCACUUAUAAUGCCUAAUACAAUGUAACCACCGUGCUAGUAGUUAUUAUGCUGUAUUUUUUAGUGGAUGAUGACAAGAAAAGUUUUUCUGUGUUCAGCCUAGACACAAUCUUUAAAAAUAUUUUCAAUCCACAAGAAUUUGUUGAAUCCACUGAUCUGGAAACCACAGAUAUGGACAGCUGACUCUAUAGUUUAUUAUAAGCUUGUAAAAGCAAGUGUGCCAAGAAAGAAAUGGUCACUGUGUUGGAUACUGCUGAGUAGGAAAAGUAGGACAAGGACAGAGAAACAAUCAUCAGAUUUGCCAUCACAGACAUCCUUGAUAGCAUUAAUGUGGGAUUUCCAUGGAGCAAUAGGGAUGAAAGUCCAAAUGGGCAAAAUAGGAGCUGCCAGUGUGAAGGUAGAGGCAAGGAGUACAGUGCAGGGGGAUGACUGCCUUUUUCCAACCAUUGUGUGAGAGGCACUGAGGGGCUCUAGGCUUUGCCGAGUGACCACAGCCCUCAGUCAUCACAAAGAGAAAAAGGCCUUGUGUCUUGGAAGUCAAGGCUUGGGCUUGCCAGGGUAGAUUAGUAGAUGAGUGGGGCUGGGGAGGAUGAGGUAGAUAUAGGAACCCAUGCCUAAUGCUGUCUUUUCUCUGUAUAAUGACAGCCUGGCUUUGAGAUAUCAUCUCUGCUCAUUGCCAGGAGGGUAGAAAGGUGGGCUUCAGUGCUGUCCAUCUCUGUGCUCUGCCUGUGUGUGUUAUGCUUCUGAGGAAGCUGCACUGUUUUAUACAACUACAUUCCAGAAAGAAAGACAGAGGCACUUCUUAGUAUAUAUUCCUCUGAUUUGUAUCUACAUGUGUUUAUUCUUGCAUAAUCACACAUUGUGAGCAGUUUCAGGCCUAUUAUUUUUCCACUGAAUGUUACAUAAAUAUAUAUUCUCUAUGUUGGUAUAUGGCUUUCAUGGAUAUUAUUGAUUACAUAAAAUUCACAUAAUACGCCCCAUGUUCAAUCAAUUCAUCCUCUACUGGUAUUCAUUUGAGUUAUUUUCAAUAUUUAUAGACAGCAUUGCAUUGAAUAUCUAUGUAAAUGGAACUUACUCUGAUAUAUUCUCAUAGAACUAAUAGAUUUAGGAUUCUUGAUAUCUACUUGCUAUUUGUUGGUGGGAGGACUGACUGGACCCACUCACUUAGAGUAGAUCCCUUACUCUCAUACACUUGUCUGGACACUAUCAUUUAUUUUUAUUGUUUUACUUUGAUGGGUGAAAGAGGGGUCUCAUUGUAGCUUCAAUCUGUCUUUCUUUGGUGGUUAAAUAAGAUGCUGAUUUUUCUCAACUGUUCAUUUACUGAUUCUACUUCUCCUCACUGGAAAAAAUAGUUCCCAUCAAGUGAUCCACAUUUGCACCUUUCCCAGUAAGCUUUCUGAAUGGUUAACCAGGCUGUCCUCAGCUGGUGGAAUGGUUCAAGAUCAAAUAUUUGUGUCCUCCUGCAUGUUUCCGCACCUCUAGCCAGUCUUCAACAGUCAUAUUCUUCCACUUGAAGGCCUCACAGUGGCCUCAUAUAGACUGUCUUGUAACCCUUCAUUGACUGCCUGUAGUCACUUCCCCUGGACUUAGAAGAGCCUUUGGGAAUAUAUCUUGACCAACUGAUUAGUCAACACUGACUGCUCACAAUUCUCCACAGUCUGCCUCUAUCCACUUGCCACCUCUCCCAAGGCAAUCUUGGGCUCUGGUUACCUUGUCAUUGCUUCCUAUUUAGGUAUGUUUCUCCCUCUCUCUUGUGCCUUGGUUUAUGAGACCUCCUCCAAGAAUGCUUCUGUUUACUCUUGGGCCAUAUCCAACUAAACUAAACUCAUCCUCUGAGACCUUGCCUCCUUGGCUAAGCCUUCCUGGAUAUUUUAAAGCCACUCAGCCUCCUGUGCCUCUGAACAUCUGAAGGAUUUAUAGUCUAUAGGGGCUCUUUGAAAGGGCUCCCAAUACUCCAACAAAUAGUUCCUUUUCCCUACUCAACUUCUGAACAAAUUGAGAAAGAAAAACUGAGAUGAAAGCCAAAUUGUCAUCUUCUUUAGUGAUGGAGGCUUAGUGAAAGAGGCAGUUUAGAGUGAGGUCAACUGGAUAUGCAAACUGAUGUGAGAAUUACCCCUUUUCCACUUCACUCUAGUCUCACAUGAUCUGGGUGAGAGAGGCCCCACAUGUCACAGUCAGUGGAGACCCACACAUGGAAGGGAACAUGAGGAGUAAGAAAUCUGACAGAGCUCCUCACAGACCAUACCCCAGGGGAAAAUGUUAAAUCCUGUCUUGAAUUAUAAUUUAGUCUAUCUAUGGGUUUUGUCACUCUGGCUACCUUUGAGUUCCUUGAGGCCCAAGGAAGGUACAACUUCUUAUUGUCAUAGUGCCUUCCAGUAGGUAAAGAAGACUCGCCGUUAGCAAACUCCUUCUUCCCAUGUCUACCCACUCCAACUAGAUCUGAGAUUCUGUUCUGUUUUGAAGACCUCAUUUCUCUACUGAGGCAUGCCUGAGUGUGCAGGCAGAACCUAUAGGAAGAAACAGGGAUGUAACCACUAUCAUUGACUCAGGUCUCAGUCAGGAUGGUGAUAGGCCCUUUUCUGAGAGCAAGCUUCAUGAAGGUACAAGGACUGAGGGGACUAUUAUCCUUGGUGUCCUUACACUAGGAUAGAGGAGACAGCCAAACAAGAGAUUGAGAUAGCACAGGCAUGCUUUGCUCAACUCAUAAGAGUUGUGCUAAGAGUCUCUUUAGGGCUUCUAGUAGACUGAUUAAUGAAUUAUUUCUCAUCCAAGGCAGAGAGGAUUAAAUAUUGUGGGCUGGAUGUAGAAGCCCAUGGCCAGAGCUAGGUUACAAACUUCACUGCUCUGCUGGCUGCUGCUUUCUAGAGGCAUUUUGAAGCCCACCUGGUAAUGCCUGGAUUCCAGAGCUGUGGGUGCACACACAUCAUUGUACCACAUAGAGUUAGAAAAAGAUCUCUCUAAAAAUAACCACCGAGGAAUAUUUAAUUUGAUAGCAAGACUGUGACUAAUCCAUGAAACAAAGAGUCUGUGUGACAAGAUGCAGUACAAUAAUGGGGAGAAAUUCAUGUUUGACCUUUAAGCAAGUGCAAAAUGAAACAGAUCUAUACCUCAGCAGCUGAGGAUCCUGUGGGUCAAGGGAGAGUGGCUAUGAAGAGGGGAUUUGGGGGCUGGGGAUUUAGCUCAGUGCUUCCGGUGCCUGUUUCGCAAGCGCAAGGUCCCGAGUUCGAUCACCGGUACCAAAAAAAAAAAAAAAAGAGGGGAUUUGGGCUGGGGAUUUAGCUCAGUGUUUCCACCACCUGCCUCCAAAGCACAAGGACCCAAGUUUGAUCCCCAGUACAAAAAAAAGAAAAAGAAAAAGAAAAAAAAAGAGGGGAUGAGAACUGAUGGAAUAAAUAGUUCUUGAGGGUACUGCAUAAUGGAAAUAGCUUAGGAAAAUCAAUACCUUUUGGUGUUAAAUAGAGAGAAGAGGCUAGCACUGAGCUAAAUGCUGGCUGAGAAGAGGUGGAUGCUGCUAGCCCAGCUGGGCAAAAGUGAGCAAACUGGCUCUUUUAGGCUGGCUUGAAGGAGAAGCAGUUCCCACAAAUACAAUGAGAACCAGAAUUUUUGGCAACCAAUCUGAGCUGGUAGAGAGGGGAGCAAGGUUCCAAAUAUUUAAUGAACAUUUACCCUGUGCUAGGCUCUGUGUUGAGAGUUUUGCAGGUAUUAUCCUCAUACAUAUUCUUUCUAGAGAAGCUAUUAUUUUUACUUGACAGAGGAGAAAACUGGGUUUAGAAGUUUAAACCACUUGCCUGGAGUCAUCCAGCUUGGAAGUAUCUAGAGCUGGAUGUGAGUCUACUCCUGACUCCAGAACCCUCAAGCUCGAUUUCUCACUGAUAGUUCACUCUGAACUUGAAAAUCUCCAAGACUGUACAUCAACAAUGAACCCACUAAGAAAGGAAUUAGGAAAACAAUCCCAUUCAUGGUAGCUUCAAAAAAUUUAAAUACUGGGGCCAGGGAUUUUUCUCAGUGGUUCCGCUGCCUGCCUCAAAAGCGCAAGGUCCUGAGUUCCAUCCCGGGUACCAAAAAAAAAAAAAAAAAAAAAAAAUUAAAUACUUAGGUACUAACUUAACCAAGGAAGUGAAAAAUAUCUAUAAGGAAAACUAUAGCACUCUGAAGAAAGAUUGAAGAGGACAUUAGAAAAUGGGCAGAUAUCCUACAUUCCUGGAUGGGCAGAAUCAAUAUUGUCAAAAUGACCGUAUUAUCAAAAAUAAUACUUGGAUUUUAUGCAAUUCCAGUCAAAAUACCAACAACAUUCUUCACAGAACUAGAAAAAACAAUCCUAAAAUUUAUAUGAGGCUAUUUAUAUGGAGCCAAAGCAAUCCUGAACAAUAAGAGCAAAGCAAGAGGCAUUACAAUUCCAUAUUUCAAGUUAUACUACAAAGCUAUAAUCAUCAAAAGAGGAUAAAAAAUAGACAUGUACAGCAUUGGAAAAGAAUAGAAGAUACAGAAACAGCCCUUUUCACCUUUAGUCUGAUCUUUGACAAAGAUACUAAAAACAAAUGCUGGAGAAAAGACAGUCUCUUUAACACACGGUGCUGGGAAAAUUAGUUAUCCAUGUGUAAAAGAAUGAAUCUAGACCCAUCCGUCUCAUCCUAAGCUAAUAUAACAUCAAAAUAGAUCAAAGACCUACAUAUAACAACAGAUGCUGAACAUGCUGGAAGACAAAAUAUCUAAUUCUUGAAGACAAAGGCAUAGGCAUAGUUCUUUUUGAACAGAAUCCCAAACUAUACAUGAAAUAAUAUAAGAAUAGCAUUACCCCAAAUUAAAAAAAACUUCUGCAUAGCAAAGGAAAUAGAUUGAAGAGAUAACCUACUGAAUGGGAAAAUAAUUUUACCAGCUACUCCUUGAAGAGAAGACUAAUAUUUUGAAUUUAUAAAGAACUGAAAAAAAAUUAGACCUCAAAAAACAAAAGACCCAAUCAAAAAUGGGCAAUUGAAAUGAAUAGGCACUUCUUAAAAGAAGUGCAAAUGACCAAUAAGUACAUAAAAAGCUUUUCAGCAUCUUUGGCCAUUAAAAAACAAAAAUCAAAACACUGAUAUUCCAUCUUACUUCAGUAAGAAUGGGUAUCAUCAAAGACUCAAGAAACAACAAAUUUUGGUGAGGUUGUGGGGAUAAAGGAAACUUCUACAUUGUUAAUGGGAAUGUAAACUAGUAGAACCCCUAUGAAAAUCAGUAUGGAGAUUUCUCAGAAAACUAAAAGUAAAAAACUUCAAUUUGACCCAGUUAUACCCUUUCUGGGUAUCUUUCCAAAAGAGUUAAAGUUAUCAUAUUAUAAUGAUUAAUGAAUACUCAUGUUUAUAGCAGCACAGUUCACAAUAGCUAAAUUCUGGAAGUUACCUAUACUGUAUGCCUAUCAACAAAUGAAUGGAUAAAGAAAAUGUGGAAAAUAUACACAAUAGAGUACUACUCAGCCAUAAGAGGGAUAAAUAUGAGUUAUUUGUAGGAAAAUUGAUGGAUCUUGAGAUAUAAUGCUAAGUGAAGUAAAUCAGACACAGAAGGUUAAAUAUCACAUGGUUUUUCAUAUGAGAAAGCCAAAAUAUAAAUAAUUUAAACAGCAAAAUAAAGAUGGCAGGAAACAGGAAGAUUUUGAAGAUGGGAAGAUCUGGGAAAGGAAAAGAGGGGAAAGGGAAAGAAGAGUAAAGAUGAUCAACAUGCAAUAUGUGAAUGUACCAAUUCCCAAAAAUGAAUGUAAUUAUUAUAUGUCACAAACAUAUAUUAAUAACAAAUUUUAAAAAAGAAAAGAAAAAGCCUAAGCCUGGCCUGAUAGCCUGGGAUCAUGGGUGGGAGGCUGAGGACAGGUGUGGUUUCAGUGGGGGCUGUCUAGUGAUGAGUUCUCAUAGAAAAUUGCUGAGAUUCCUGGCAUGGCAGGUUUCUAUAUGGGAUCAUUUCUCUGAUUGUUCUAUAAUUCACGACUGCAUAUUAUAAAUUUUGAUCCAUUGCCUUGGGUUCUAAUUGGAGAACAUUCUCCAUUUCAUAGAGUUGCUUUCUUUAGUGGUGACAAGGGGAAUACUGUUCCUGCCACUCCCUGGGUAGGGAUCCUAUGUAUUCUGAGUACAUCCAACGUAUGCUCAUAUGAGAGUUUGUUAAAGAUUUUUUUUCCAUUCUCUAAUAAAUAUUUAUCAAGAAAGAGAUCAACAACGGUCUUUGAUUAGAUUCAGUGCCAAUUGGUGUCUGGCAUGCUUGGCAUUAUUCUGUCCCUGGCCCCUUUGCAUGUGCUGGGUUGUAGGUGGCAAUCAAGGAAUUAAGGCUGCAGCUGAAGCAGUGGUCCCAGAAACCCUCUUAGACACUGGAAAGUGACCUGGGCAGGGAAGUAAAUUGUUCUUCCUCUUUGAGCUUGGGAGAUGAGGCCUGGAGUUUGAGCACAGAUGUGCCAUCUUGAAAAUAAAAGAAGGAUUGGCUCGAGGAGAGAUGCUUGGAGUAGUCUUGGGUUAGGCAUGGUCCUGGAUGUCUCUGCACAGACUUUCUUGGGUGCUCAGAGAAUUGGGGAAUAUCCAGCAGUGCCUCUAAGCCCAGUCCAGGGAGAUGGACCUUUUCCUAGGCUGUUCCCUCGAGAAGCCCAGAAUAUCCUUGAGGGGCCUGGUCUUAUUCAUGUCUCUUAUCUUUGCUUCUGACCCAAGUCCAGCAACGAUUGUUGCUCUAAUGUCAUGUGAUCCAGCAAGGCUCUAAGACCAGACUCUGCCUCCAACUCUAGCCACACUUUUCCCACUCUCCAGUUACUUGUCACUCACACAAUACAUGUUGUUUUCCAUUCUUUGGCUACAUCAAGGUCCUCCCCUGCCAUGUCUACUUCCCUAAAUGCUGUUCUCUUUGUCUAGAACACUUUAUCUACUUCUUUACCUGGCUGAUUUAUCCACAUUGACAGGUUCCAGCUUAUUGUUUUUUUUUUUGUUUGUUUGUUUUUGUUUUUUUUAGUAUCAGGGAUCAAACUUGGGACCUUGCACUUGUGAGGCAGGUGGCAGCACCACUGAGCUAGAUCCCUGGCCUGACAGGUUCCAGUUUAGCUAUCAUUUCCUCCAGGAAGUCUUCCUUGACUUGCAAACUAGGUCAGGCUUCCUGGCUGGUGCUGUCUUUGUUCUUAUGUCUGCAAUUAGAGGUUCACUUGGGUAAUAAUUGGUCCAAUGUCUUCCUCACAACUAGAUGGUAAACUCUGUGAUGGGAAAGACCGUGGACAUUUUCUGACCUGAAACUUGCAUAAUAAGUGAGCAAAACUUUUUGGAGAAUAAAUGAUUCAAAUUUCUCACACUUCAGUCACAUAACAAUUCAAACAUGGGGUAGCUGGUGCUGUACCAAACAAACAGGCUUUGUUUUGCAGUUAAUGAAUUAGUGAAGGCAUAGCAAUUGAUUGCUUUUUAUGUGUAGAGAAAUUAUCUCUGUCCUGAUUUUCAAUAUCUGUGCUAUUUUGGGCUGUUUUUCUCUUUUUGGCCUAUUUGUAUUGCCGCAAUAAUUUCACCAUUUGGCUUCACAGAGGCCCAAUAACUAUUACAAAUAAGGUUCCAUAAAAUUUACUUCUUGACAUUAGAAUGUUUUGUUGCUAAUUACUCUCUGAGGUUUUUAAUUUCAAUCCCUCCUAGGUGAUUUAGUGCAGAAAUUCAAGGGCACAGUUAUUUCCCCCAAAGGGAAAGGAGAACUAAGUAAUGCCAAGUUUCUAUUUGCCCUACCUUCUGGUAGAGCUAUCUCAGUUUUGAUUCUAUCUAUUGUACUUUAUCCUGGCCAGAAAAGAAUAAGUGAACAAAAAUCUUACUGGAAAAAAGAUAUAAAUUCUUGGGGAAAAAUAAAAGUACUCUUUCACUAAUGUAGUCAUUUGAACAAUAUUUAUUGAGUACUUAUGAGGUGUGAUCCAAAAAUAAGAUGAAUGCUUAAAUUUUUAAAAAAUUAAGUAAAAGACAUUACCAUGAAUCCCUCCUCAAAAUACUCCCCCUUGCUUUGAACACAGUUACUCUGUCAUUCUUUGAAGCACUUCUGGAAGUUCUCUCUUGUGUCUUUAGUUGUGCUGUUGUGGUUGCCUAGAUGUUCUGAAUCAGUUCAAAACAUUUACUACCUUUCAUGGUCAUUUUGACUUUCAGGAAGAGCCAGAAGUCAUAUGGUGCCAGAUCUGGUGAAUAAGGUAGUUGAAGACAUACAGUAAUGUUUUUACAAGGCUGCCGUUCUGUUGGCUGGCAGCAUUCAUUAUAUUUUUUGUCACACCUUGUAAAGACAGUCAGAAAAGAGGACUGUCAGAACUGCUUCAGAAAGUGGCAAGAACAAUAGGAUAAAUAUUUUCAAAAUGAGGGGGAUUAAUGGCAAUCUGUCUUUUACUGUAAUACUUUAAAAAAGGUUAAAAAAUAUUCACUGUAUAUUUUGAUCACACCUUGAAUUAUGCAUCAGAUUCUGUGUUCUAGGCAUGGAAGAUGAAUAAAAGAAUACAACAUGUUGCUGUCUCCAGGUAGUUCACAGAGUUGGGUGGGCAAGAAAUGUUGAAGAUUCUCAGGCAUGUCUGGGAGUGAAUCUCAUGGUGGAACUUGGUAGCAAAAGCCCAUCCAGAAGUGUCAUAUCAGUCUCCAGGGGUUGAAAUGAGGGGAACUUUGGUUAUUUUUCAUUUGAAGACACUGUCUAACUGGAAAGAAUGUGAAUUUUAAUAAUAUUUUGAAUGGGUUGAUAAAAUAGGAACAGAUGGUUAAAGUUUGUCAUUUCAGGAAAAAUAAUGAAAUAUUGCACAGCUGAAUCUGCCUCUCUUUCACACUCUUCCCUAUCCCCUCCCCACCGCAGAUACACUCAGAUGCAUGAAAAUUUAAAGCAAAAUACUAAUAAUAUCUUUUAGCCACUUUAGGUCUCCAUACCCAAAAGGACCCUAACUUUUUCAGUCAUUUCUAUGUUACUGUGUUAGCCUUUUAUUCCAAUGGUGCAUCCUGAGAGGAGCCUUUCUACAGGAUAUUGCUUUGUGGGGAUAUAAGAGAUGGUGGGGAAGUGAGACUUGCCUGAGUGUCUCUCUGCCAUGAAGAAAACUGGCUUUGCUUUAUUGACCAGAGCAGAUGUACUCUUUGAGGAACUCAGCAGGGUAAGUAUGAGUUGGGUAAGAUAUCCUAUCUACCAGCUCCUAGGAUUUUUAUGAGUAGAAGCUCUAACUGCUGACACGUUCCUGGUCAAGAGAAAGCAGAUCCUCACCAUUAUCACCUGUACUUUCUUGGAUUUAUUCCAGUUGCACAUCUCUGAAGUUUUCCUUUUAUUCUGCUUGGACAGCACAUUAGAUGAGAUCAAACGCUGAGAGAGAGACAUAAGCACUGCUUUGGCACUGUUGCUAGAAACUCUUGGGAGAAUGAGCAUUGUGUACCAUUUGCCCAUUGCUUGCCGACUUCAGUAGCAAGAGUCUUCAGAAUGCUCCUGGAUAAACAUAAUCUUUGUGGCCAUACAUUGUUUUAUGAGCUGAGUCUUUAGCUUGGCUGGCUCCUUAAAUGCUGCUGUCUGAUUCUCCAGGCAGCAGAAAACAAGGAAAGAAGAGCUCACCGAGCUUUGUGGAUGGCCAAUUUCACUUGCCAAAGGCUAUUUUGAAUAUCCACCAGUCUGAAAGAGUUUCCUGCUGAAAGCAUGACUACUUCCUUACUCAUCGAGUUUCGUUUAUCAUUUAAGGAUGAAUGCCCUCCUAUCCUGUAGCUGAGGUGUGCAAUCAUGGUGUGGACAAUUUUUUUGGAGGGAGUCUGAAGAAACUGUUAUCUAAGAUGGAUUCAUACUGGAAGCAAGAGAGCAAACUGGGAAAAAUGGCCUUAGGCUCUGUGAUUGUCAUUGUGUACAUUAGACAAGACAAUGAAAGUAGAGGAUGAAAUAAGACCUUUCUGGUUGUUCAGAAGGCCUGUGUAGCUUGGCCCCACUUACUGGACAGAGCUUCCUGGAGAGAGUUUUUCGAGAAUGUGGCUUCAUUCCAUAGUAUUGCUUUAUGGUGGCCAUUGGGCAGGGGGAUCUAUCUUCCUGGGAGUUAGUUACAUAAAUAAAGACAUCUCUUUUGUUAUGCUCUUGGAAUCCCUUACCUUUCUCCCCGCAAAAGAUGUAUCUGGCUAUUGAGAAACUAAACAUUCACAGAACAGACAUUUUCUGGACAAGACUGGGCAGCCUUUAUUGGUGGGUGAAGUAGUCCAGAGAUCAAGAGGUGGUAGCAAUAAUUCAGGUGAGCACUCUCAGGCCUGAGAGAAAUUACCAGUUACAAAGGAC